rnacentral:lncRNA from 1 species
AUGUUUUCUUAGCCUGCAAUGUUGAGAAAAUCGGAGGUCCUUCUCUCGGUCAAUGACUCUCCUCCCAGCAGUAGGACACCUGUAAUCUAAUCGUGUGACUUCAAGCAAUACUCAGGCUCCCCUGACCUCUUGCAAGUCUUGCUCGUAGCAGGAAUGGCGAGUUGGGCUACUCACAUCACCGUGAUACUGUGUUAUUGAAGAGAGGAAUAUUGAAAACCCUAUGAGCUACGUUCAUCAAUGUGUCACUCGUUUCAACAGCUAUUGAAGCGUCGUCUGUCUUAUGUCAGACACAGGAAAGGAGGCAAAACAGUUGCUGGAACCACUCUCAAAAGGCAGCCUCUCCUCUCUCCUGCAGGCGUACGUGUGGAGCACCUGCCUUAGGCAGCAGCUGUACACGAAGGAGUUGGAGUAAGGGCUGUAGCAAGAGUAAUGCAAUUAUUAAAUCCCACCUUUUAUGCUAUAUAUUUGAAUAUAUUGCUUCACAUCUGGCCUCUCUUUUGUAUUUUAUAACAACUUUGAACAAAUUGUUCUUCUCAAACGUAGUUAGAGAGAAUGUGAAUUCUAACUGAAUUUUUAGGAAGGAGCUAUAGGCAUCAAGGCCCCUUAAGAGGAACUGA